AGACCAGGGACCUCAGCUCCUCCGUGGAUGAGAAGGCCCAUAGACAACAGUCCUGAUCCUGGGCAGCCGGAAUGACAGGGCUUGCCAGUGAAGGAACUGUGUCUUCCUCCUUGAAGACGGAAGUGCAAUAAUGACCCUGCUUCUC
ensembl:miRNA